ACGAGCGGCGAACGGGUGAGUAACACGUGAGCAACCUACCCUCAACUUUGGGAUAAGCCUCGGAAACGGGGUCUAAUACCGGAUAACACCACAUGCUUCCUGGUGUGUGGUUGAAAGUUCUGGCGGUUGGGGAUGGGCUCGCGGCCUAUCAGCUUGUUGGUGGGGUAAUGGCCUACCAAGGCGUCGACGGGUAGCCGGCCUGAGAGGGCGACCGGCCACACUGGGACUGAGACACGGCCCAGACUCCUACGGGAGGCAGCAGUGGGGAAUAUUGCGCAAUGGACGAAAGUCUGACGCAGCAACGCCGCGUGAGGGAUGACGGCCUUCGGGUUGUAAACCUCUUUCAGCAGGGACGAAGCGAGAGUGACGGUAUCCUGCCAGAAGAAGAACCGGCCAACUACGUGCCAGCAGCCGCGGUAAUACGUAGGGUCCGAGCGUUGUCCGGAAUUAUUGGGCGUAAAGGGCUCGUAGGCGGUUCGUCACGUCGGGAGUGAAAACUCGGGGCUUAACCCCGAGCCUGCUUCCGAUACGGGCAGACUAGAGGUAGGCAGGGGAGAGCGGAACUCCUGGUGUAGCGGUGGAAUGCGCAGAUAUCAGGAAGAACACCGGUGGCGAAGGCGGCUCUCUGGGCCUUACCUGACGCUGAGGAGCGAAAGCGUGGGUAGCGAACAGGAUUAGAUACCCUGGUAGUCCACGCCGUAAACGUUGGGCGCUAGGUGUGGGGGACAUUCCACGUCCUCCGUGCCGCAGCUAACGCAUUAAGCGCCCCGCCUGGGGAGUACGGCCGCAAGGCUAAAACUCAAAGGAAUUGACGGGGGCCCGCACAAGCGGCGGAGCAUGCGGAUUAAUUCGAUGCAACGCGAAGAACCUUACCUGGGUUUGACAUAUAGGGGAAAUCCUCCAGAGAAUGGGGGGUCCGUAAGGGGCCCUAUACAGGGGGGUGCAUGGGCUGUCCGUCAGCCUCGUGGUCCUGGAAAAGGUUGGGGUUAAGUCCCGCAACGAGCGCAACCCUCGUCCUAUGUUGCCAGCACGUCCUUCGGGAUGGUGGGGACUCAUAGGAGACUGCCGGGGUCAACUCGGAGGAAGGUGGGGAUGACGUCAAGUCAUCAUGCCCCUUAUGUCCAGGGCUUCACGCAUGCUACAAUGGCCGGUACAAAGGGCUGCGAAACUGUAAAGUGGAGCGAAUCCCAAAAAGCCGGUCUCAGUUCGGAUUGGGGUCUGCAACUCGACCCCAUGAAGUCGGAGUCGCUAGUAAUCGCAGAUCAGCAACGCUGCGGUGAAUACGUUCCCGGGCCUUGUACACACCGCCCGUCACGUCAUGAAAGUCGGCAACACCCG
rnacentral:rRNA from 1 species